CCUACGGGCGGCAGCAGUGAGGAAUAUUGGUCAAUGGGCGCGAGCCUGAACCAGCCAAGUCGCGUGAGGGAAGACGGUCCUAUGGAUUGUAAACCUCUUUUGUCGGGGAGCAAAAGACGCCACGCGUGGUGUUCCGAGAGUACCCGAAGAAAAAGCAUCGGCUAACUCCGUGCCAGCAGCCGCGGUAAUACGGAGGAUGCGAGCGUUAUCCGGAUGUAUUGGGUUAAAAGGGUGCGCAGGCGGAAGAGCAAGUCAGCGGUAAAAUUGAGAGGCUCAACCUCUUCGAGCCGUUGAAACUGGUUUUCUUGAGUGAGCGAGAAGUAUGCGGAAUGCGUGGUGUAGCGGUGAAAUGCAUAGAUAUCACGCAGAACUCCGAUUGCGAAGGCAGCAUACCGGCGCUCAACUGACGCUCAUGCACGAAAGUGUGGGUAUCGAACAGGAUUAGAUACCCCAGUAGUC
rnacentral:rRNA from 1 species